rnacentral:rRNA from 1 species
UACGUAGGGUGCAAGCGUUAAUCGGAAUUACUGGGCGUAAAGCGUGCGUAGGCGGUGAUGUAAGACAGUUGUGAAAUCCCCGGGCUCAACCUGGGAACUGCAUCUGUGACUGCAUCGCUGGAGUACGGCAGAGGGGGAUGGAAUUCCGCGUGUAGCAGUGAAAUGCGUAGAUAUGCGGAGGAACACCGAUGGCGAAGGCAAUCCCCUGGGCCUGUACUGACGCUCAUGCACGAAAGCGUGGGGAGCAAACAGG